GACGAACGCUGGCGGCGUGCCUAAUACAUGCAAGUAGAACGCUGAAGGAGGAGCUUGCUUCUCUGGAUGAGUUGCGAACGGGUGAGUAACGCGUAGGUAACCUGCCUGGUAGCGGGGGAUAACUAUUGGAAACGAUAGCUAAUACCGCAUAAGAGUAGAUGUUGCAUGACAUUUGCUUAAAAGUUGCAAUUGCAUCACUACCAGAUGGACCUGCGUUGUAUUAGCUAGUUGGUGGGGUAACGGCUCACCAAGGCGACGAUACAUAGCCGACCUGAGAGGGUGAUCGGCCAAACUGGGACUGAGACACGGCCCAGACUCCUACGGGAGGCAGCAGUAGGGAAUCUUCGGCAAUAGACGGAAGUCUGACCGAGCAACGCCGCGUGAGUGAAGAAGGUUUUCGGAUCGUAAAGCUCUGUUGUAAGAGAAGAACGAGUGUGAGAGUGGAAAGUUCACACUGUGACGGUAUCUUACCAGAAAGGGACGGCUAACUACGUG
rnacentral:rRNA from 1 species